UAGGUGCGGAUCAUUAUAUGUGUC
rnacentral:siRNA from 1 species